rnacentral:rRNA from 1 species
ACGGAAGGCAGCAGUGGGGAAUAUUGGGUAAUGGGCGAAAGCCUGACCCAGCAACGCCGCGUGAAGGAAGAAGGUCCUCGGAUUGUAAACUUCUUUUAUCAGGGACGAAGAAAGUGACGGUACCUGAUGAAUAAGCCACGGCUAACUACGUGCCAGCAGCCGCGGUAAUACGUAGGUGGCGAGCGUUAUCCGGAUUUACUGGGUGUAAAGGGCGCGUAGGCGGGGAUGCAAGUCAGAUGUGAAAUCCAUGGGCUUAACUCAUGAACUGCAUUUGAAACUGUAUCUCUUGAGUGUCGGAGAGGUAGAUGGAAUUCCUAGUGUAGCGGUGAAAUGCGUAGAUAUUAGGAAGAACACCAGUGGCGAAGGCGGUUAGCUGGACAAUAACUGACGCUGAGGCGCGAAAGCGUGGGUAGCAAACAGGAUUAGAUACCCUGGUA